rnacentral:rRNA from 1 species
UACGUAGGGGGCAAGCGUUGUCCGGAUUUACUGGGCGUAAAGAGCGUGUAGGCGGCCUGGUAGGUCUGCUGUGAAAACUCGAGGCUCAACCUCGAGAUGUCGGCGGAAACCAUCUGGCUAGAGUCCGGAAGAGGAGAGUGGAAUUCCUGGUGUAGCGGUGAAAUGCGCAGAUAUCAGGAAGAACACCUAUGGCGAAGGCAGCUCUCUGGGACGGUACUGACGCUGAGACGCGAAAGCGUGGGGAGCGAACAGG